GACGAACGCUGGCGGCGUGCUUAACACAUGCAAGUCGAACGAGAAUCACUGGAAGGAGUUUUCGGACAACGGAAGGUGAGGACAGUGGCGGACGGGUGAGUAACGCGUGAGGAACCUGCCUUUCAGAGGGGGACAACAGUUGGAAACGACUGCUAAUACCGCAUGACACAUAGAGAUCGCAUGGUUUUUAUGUCAAAGAUUUAUCGCUGAAAGAUGGCCUCGCGUCUGAUUAGCUAGUUGGUGAGGUAAC
rnacentral:rRNA from 1 species